AGAGAGUCAUCUAAGUUGUAAAG
rnacentral:snRNA from 1 species